rnacentral:rRNA from 1 species
AAUGAACGCUGGCGGCAGGCCUAACACAUGCAAGUCGAACGGAUCCUUCGGGAUUAGUGGCGGACGGGUGAGUAACGCGUGGGAACAUACCCUUUGGUACGGAAUAGCCUCGGGAAACUGGGAGUAAUACCGUAUGUGGUCGAGAGACGAGAGAUUUAUCGCCAAAGGAUUGGCCCGCGUUGGGUUAGGUAGUUGGUGGGGUAAUGGCCUACCAAGCCGACGAUCCAUAGCUGGUUUGAGAGGAUGAUCAGCCACACUGGGACUGAGACACGGCCCAGACUCGUACGGAAGGCAGCGGUGGGGAGUCUUAGACAAUGGGGGAAACCCUGAUCUAGCCAUGCCGCGUGAUAGAUGAAGGCCUUAGGGUUGUAAAGAUCUUUCAGGUGGGAAGAUAAUGACUGUACCACCAGAAGAAGCCCCGGCUAACUCCGUGCCAGCCGCCGCAGUAA